AGGGAGAUGACUGUGGCUGAGACAUACCAGGGCAGCCCAAGCACCGAAGUGAGCAGCAGCAGCACAGCCACACAGAAGAGGUCCAGGUGGAAGCCAGCUCCCUUCUGCAGGACUCUCCCAGGAACUGGCCCUCACCAUGCUUGAGAUGUCAUCUCUGUCUUUUGGUUCUGUCUCCUUCCACUGAGACUCAUUUCCUGGGAAGCAGAGAACAAUUUGGGUAUAUGUGCCUCCUCUGGAAAGCUUCUCCAGCCCCUCAGGAGCCUGAUCUCAUGGAUCCAACUGAGCCAGAAAGUUCUUAGUUCUGACUCAUCUGUCUUCUGACCCUAAAUGCUGUGCUCCUCAGGACAUCUCCCAGUCCCUACCAAUUCCUUACGUCUCUGUAUCCCUGGUGCCCGGCAUAGGACCAGCCAGAGCAGAUGCCUAGCAAAUGUUUGCUUAAAAGAUGAGCACACCAAUCUGUGGGUUUCUAUCAGGACCAGAACUGGUUUUGCUCAUGCCUAACACAGAGUCUGGCGCUCUUGAGAGGAUAUCUCUUCCCCAUUCCUGCUGCUUCCUUGUGCAGGGGUAUGUGCAAGUGUAAAACUCUGAGCUGCUCUCCCCCUCAGUCAGUCACUCAGACUAGGGAAGAACAGCAAUUUGUUCGAUUGGUGAAUUUGAGAGAAGGAAUGGAGCAUGCCUCUCCCUGUCCCUUCCUCUCCCCGCUCUUGGGAAUAGCUGCCUGCCCUGUGCAUGCAACUUAGCUCUGCCCUUCUGUGGCAAGACAGUCCCUGUCCAGGGCAGCCAUGACUGGGUGGGUAAAUCUAUUUAAUUUUGGUUUCAUUGUUAGGAAGCCCGUUUCCCCACAGAUAUAAGCAUGUUCUUCUAUCAGCACUGUCAGAAAUAAAGAUGAUAUUGGGGCACCUG